CUAUUUUAAAAUAUAUCACUGAUCUCGUUCUCAUAUCUAAAUUUUUUAGCCAUCGAAAUUACUACUCAAGCUAGCUGCGCCAUUCACCACCGGGAAGAGUGUCGGUAGAACCUUUUUCCGACAAGGCUCCUUCUUCCGAUUUCUUCAAUUUUGGGGAAGGAAACAGUAACCUCAAGGCUAAGGAGCCACUUCUUCAAUGCAUUCGUGCAUACAGGGAGCAAACCUUUCUUCUUGUUCCCCAUCACGAACAGAGCAGCUAAGUGAAACAAUUAUGGUUGAACUUUUGCAUUUGUAUCUUUAUGCAUCUGACCUGUUCGAGGAAAUGCUUCGUCCAUCUAAGGAAAUCAAGGUAAACCUUUAUGCUUAUUCCUUUGAGUCUCUAUCUUAGUGUAUGUUAAGUUUCAAUUUUAGGGUUUGUGCAAUCAUGAAAUUCUUAUUCAUUUGUUUGUAAACUUAAUAUUUGUCCUGCAUUAUAGUUUGAGAGUCAUGAAAAUGGUCAUGAAAAUGUAAAAGCUUAUUAUGAGAAAGAAUAAGGUGUACAUAUAUUCCUAAUUUAUAUGUUUAAUUAAUCCUCUGCUGCUGUGUGUAAUAAUUCUUUUGUACUUUUAUUUUAAUUCUUAAAAGCAAAUCAUUGUUUCUUAUCCUAAUAAUAGGUAAGAGAUAUAAAGGUAGCAUAUAGGAUUGAAUUGAAUAGGAAAGUUUAUUAUUACAAUAGCUAACUAGUUUAUUGUGUAAUUGAAGUUCGAAUGAACAAAACUUGAAACAAAAUAGUAAUGCAGACUUCAAACACGUUUGCUUUGCUUUAUUUGAUUUGGAGCUUUGACUAUAUUUAAUUUGUUUUGUUUUUAUUUGGAUUUGGAACUUUGACUUUUCCAAGUUGCUGAAUCGAGCUUUGCGAGAAAAUGAAAGUCUAGUUCUCCAUGGUGAAGCUCUGAAGGCCUCAUACCCACUUUUGUGUUGCUUUUGGGUCUUUUUUAUCAUUCCAGAGUCUCCUAGAUGGCUGGUGAAGAGAGACUGAAGAAUUCGAGGCAGCAUUGAGAACACUUAGAGGAAAAGAUGCUGAUAUAUCUCAAGAGGCAGAUGAUUUCUGGCACUCUGCGAACAGGUAUUAAAAGGAGAAAGCUUGUACAAUUCGAAGAGGAAGAAGAUGAACACCUCGAACCAAAUGUUGUUGAUCCUAGAGGAAUUUUUUUAUUUUUAGUUUUUUCUUAUUUUUUAUUUUAUGUUAUGAAAUACAAUGUUGGUAUUUUUGUGGAAUUCUAUUUUUGUGAAAGAAAUUUUUGAUAUUAAAGUAUUUAUAUAUAUAUAUUAUUUACAAUGAAAAUAAUUC